CCCUUAGAUGUUCUGGGCCGCACGCGCGCUACACUGAUGCAUUCAACGAGUCUAAAACCUGCUCUGAUAGGGGUGGGUAAUCUUUUGAAUGUGCAUCGUGAUUGGGAUAGAUGAUUGCAAUUUUUCAUCUUCAACGAGGAAUGCCUAGUAAACGCAAGUCGUCAGCUUGCAUUGAUUACGUCCCUGCCCUUUGUACACACCGCCCGUCGCUCCUACCGAUUGAAUGAUCCGAUGAAUAUCAUGGAUUGAGGAUGCAAGUAGGUUCGCCUAUCUUCAUCUUCGAGAAGUGAAGUAAAUCUUAUCAUUUAGAGGAAGGAGAAGUCGUAACA
rnacentral:rRNA from 1 species